rnacentral:snoRNA from 1 species
CCUGCCAUGCAGAAUUGCAGUUGCACUCACUCUGCCUGCUGCAUGAGUUGAUAAUUUAAGAUUUAAGUAAACAAACAAUGAAGGACCUCAUAAGUGUUGGCUGCUCCCAUUC